rnacentral:rRNA from 1 species
CCAGACUCCUACGGGAGGCAGCAGUGAGGAAUAUUGGUCAAUGGCCGAGAGGCUGAACCAGCCAAGUCGCGUGAGGGAUGACGGCCCUACGGGUUGUAAACCUCUUUUGUCGGGGAGCAAAGAGAGUCACGUGUGGCUCAUUGAGAGUACCCGAAGAAAAAGCAUCGGCUAACUCCGUGCCAGCAGCCGCGGUAAUACGGAGGAUGUGAGCGUUAUCCGGAUUUAUUGGGUUUAAAGGGUGCGUAGGCGGGAGGCCAAGUCAGCGGUAAAAAUGCGGGGCUCAACGCCGGCGAGCCGUUGAAACUGGCGUUCUUGAGUGAGCGAGAAGUAUGCGGAAUGCGUGGUGUAGCGGUGAAAUGCAUAGAUAUCACGCAGAACUCCGAUUGCGAAGGCAGCGUACCGGCGCUCAACUGACGCUCAUGCACGAAAGUGUGGGUAUCGAACAGGAUUAGAUACCCCAGUAGCA